GUGCCAGCCGCCGCGGUAAGACGAACCGUACAAACGUUAUUCGGAAUCAUUGGGCUUAAAGGGUGCGUAGGCGGUGCGGAAAGUUGGGUGUGAAAUCCCUCGGCUCAACCGAGGAAUUGCGCCCAAAACUACCGUGCUCGAGGAAGACAGAGGUGAGUGGAACUUAGGGUGGAGCGGUGAAAUGCGUUGAUAUCCUAAGGAACACCAGUGGCGAAAGCGACUCACUGGGUCUUUUCUGACGCUGAGGCACGAAAGCUAGGGGAGCAAACGGGAUUAGAUACCCCCGUAGUCC
rnacentral:rRNA from 1 species